rnacentral:rRNA from 1 species
AGCAGCCGCGGUAAUUCCAGCUCCAAUAGCGUAUAUUAAAGUUGUUGCAGUUAAAAAGCUCGUAGUUGAAUUUCGGGAUUAGUAAGUUGGUCGUGCCUCUGGUAUGUACUGGCUUUACUGGUUCCUCCUUCUUGAAGAACUGUAAUGUCAUUAAUUUGGUGUUGCAGGGAAACAGGACUGUUACUUUGAAAAAAUUAGAGUGUUUAAAGCAGGCUAACGCUUGAAUACAUUAGCAUGGAAUAAUGAAAUAGGACGUUUGAUCCUAUUUUGUUGGUUUCUAGGAUUGACGUAAUGAUUAAUAGGGAUAGUUGGGGGCAUUAGUAUCCAAUUGUCAGAGGUGAAAUUCUUGGAUUUAUUGAAGACUAACUACUGCGAAAGCAUUUGCCAAGGAUGUUUUCAUUAAUCAAGAACGAAAGUUAGGGGAUCGAAGACGAUCAGAUACCGUCGUAGUCUUAACCAUAAACUAUGCCGACUAGGGAUCGGAUGAUGUUAAUUUUUAAUGACUCAUUCGGCGCCUUAC